rnacentral:rRNA from 1 species
UACGUAGGGUGCAAGCGUUGUCCGGAAUUAUUGGGGCGUAAAGAGCUCGUAGGCGGUUUGUUGCGUCGGCUGUGAAAUCCCGAGGCUCAACCUCGGGUCUGCAGUCGAUACGAGCAAACUAGAGUGUUGCAGGGGAGACUGGAAUUCCUGGUGUAGCGGUGAAAUGCGCAGAUAUCAGGAGGAACACCGGUGGCGAAGGCGGGUCUCUGGGCAACAACUGACGCUGAGGAGCGAAAGCGUGGGGAGCGAACAGG